GAUGAACGCUGGCGGCGUGCCUAAUACAUGCAAGUCGAACGGAAACACGAGGAGCUUGCUCUUCUUAGGUUAGCGGCGGACGGGUGAGUAACGCGUAGAUAACCUUCCUUUUAGCCGGGGAUAACUACGGGAAACGAUAGCUAAUACCGCAUAAUACAUCCUACCGCAUGUAGCAUGAGUUAAAGGGGCCUUUGCUGCCCGAUAUAGCCGACGUCGGAUUAGCUAGUUGGUAGGGUAAGGGCCCACCAAGGCGACGAUCCGUAGCUGGUCUGAGAGGAUGAUCGGCCACACUGGAACUGAGACACGGUCCAGACUCCUACGGGAGGCAGCAGUGGGGAAUAUUGGACAAUGGGCGCAAGCCUGAUCCAGCCAUACCGCGUGGGUGAAGAAGGCCUUCGGGUUGUAAAGCCCUUUUGUUGCGAAAGAAAAGCAGCAGAUUAAUACCUCGCUGUUCUGACGGUACCCAAAGAGUAAGCACCGGCUAACUACGUG
rnacentral:rRNA from 1 species